GUUUACGGUGGCUGACCCGACUGAAGCCCAAGUUUGUCUCCCAUUUGCUUCAUUUCAUCCCCAAAUCGAAACCUCUCAAUAUCUUCCCCAAAUCGAAUCCUCUCAAAUCUACGAUUUCUUCUCCUUGUAUGUGUAGCUGGCCAACAAUAAAUCCAGGUGACACCCAUUGACGAAGAAUAACGCAGAGCCAACCAUAAAUCCAGGCGACAACCCGAAUAAUCGCCUCCUCCGAUCACGGGCUGAACGGAAAGAGAAGUAGUGGCUUGACGCUUAUAAAAUAUUUUUUCCAACGGGUCGGUGUUUAUUUUCCUCAACGGGUCGGGCUGAAUAAUGAAGAAUUAAUGUUUGUAUAGGGGUUAAACAUUUUCUGUGAUUUUUAUGUUGUUUUCGCUUUGUUUCAUGUCGUUGAAUUAGAUAAGUUCGAUGGCACGCAAGAAUGGGGGAAUAUGUCAUUGUUGUCGACAGAGGGGACAUACACUAUCGGAAUGCCCGACAAAGAGAAGAUGCCCAAAUUGUCGAAAAGAGCAAUGACCAUAAAAGAUUGUUGUUUCAUUGUUGUACUCGUGACUGUAGGUACUUCAAAUGGCGCAACAAAUUCCUCGAUGAAAAGUGUCUAUUGCAUGAUGAUGGUGAAUCAGGUUGCAUCACAACUGCAGGUGAAGACGUGGAUACUUGUCGCAUAUGUCGAAAACGCUUGCUAAGCUAAGCAAGGAAAAAGACCUGGAGAUUUCUCUCCAAAGAAACAUAUGCAAAGGGAAACGAGUUUCAGAAAAUGAAAUGUAAAAGUUGAUGUGUUAGGACGAUGAUCCAACGGUUUGUAUGUCGUGAUCAUUCAAGAUUGUAAAUCUAAACUUCUUUAACUGUUUGUAAUGACGCAUGUAUGAAUGAUACGCUACUAUGUUGAUGUGGUUUUUUUUUUGCUA